AGUGAACGCUGGCGGUAUGCCUUACACAUGCAAGUCGAACGGCAACACACUAAGAGCUUGCGAUUACUGGUGGCGAGUGGCGUAAUGGUGCGGAAUACAUCCGAAGCUACUUUUUCGUGGGGGGUAACGUAGGGUAACUUACGCUAAUACCUCAUACGGACUACGGGGGACAGCAGGGGAUCUUCUGACCUUGCGCGUUUGAAGCGGCCGAUGUCGGAUUAGCUAGUUGGCGGGGUAAAGGCCCACCAAGGCGACGAUCCGUAGCUGGUCUGAGAGGACGACCAGGCACAAGGGGACUGAGACACGGCCCAGACUGCUACGGGAGGCAGCAGUGGGGAAUGUUGGACAAUGGGCGCAAGCCUGAUCCAGCAAUGCCGCGUGCGGGAAGAAGGCCUUCGGGUUGUAAACCGCUUUUGGCAGGAACGAAACGGUGUCCGCUAAUACCGGGCGCUAAUGACGGUACCUGCAGAAUAAGCACCGGCUAACUACGUG
rnacentral:rRNA from 1 species